GAUGAACGCUAGCGGCAGGCUUAACACAUGCAAGUCGAGGGGCAGCAUGAGACGGAGAUUCGUCGAAGUCUUGAUGGCGACCGGCGCAAGGGUGCGUAACGCGUGAGCAACUUGCCCGUUUCAGGGGGAUAACCGGUGGAAACGCCGACUAAUACCCCAUAGUAUCAAUUUAAGGCAUCUUUUAUUGAUUAAAGAACUUCGGAAACGGAUAGGCUCGCGUGACAUUAGCUAGAUGGCGGGGUAACGGCCCACCAUGGGGACGAUGUCUAGGGGUUCUGAGAGGAAGGUCCCCCACACUGGAACUGAGACACGGUCCAGACUCCUACGGGAGGCAGCAGUGAGGAAUAUUGGUCAAUGGUCGAAGGACUGAACCAGCCAUGCCGCGUGAAGGUGACGGCCCUAUGGGUCUUAAACUUCUUUUGUAAGGGAGCAAUAAGUUCUACGUGUAGGAUGAUGAGAGUACCUUACGAAUAAGCAUCGGCUAACUCCGUGCCAGCCGCCGCAGUAACAC
rnacentral:rRNA from 1 species